GAGAGGAGAGAGAAGACAGGACAGUCUGCAGCCGAGGGCGCACCAGCUAAGGGGUAAACUUUAGAUGCACAACCCGAAUCUAAUGAUGAGGAAACCCAAACGAACACAAACUGUAGGAUGUUCCACUAAAUGGCUGCCCUAUUAUCUUCAAAAAUGUCAAGGGCAUGAACUUCAAGGAAAGAUGGAGAACUGCUGGAGACCAGAGGAGACUGAAGAAACAUGACAGCUGAAUGCAAUGUGUGAUCAUAUAUUGGACCUUGGUUAUAAAGGACAUUGAAACCAAGACAGAACAACCUCACUUUGAUGGUUGUACUUUGCUUAGAGAAAAAUGUUUUUUACUUGUUGGAAGUACAACUAAAGUAUUUGGGAGUUAGAGAACA